AGAAAAUAGAUACCCAGGUAGUCCACGCCGUAAACUAUGGACGCUAGCUGUUAGAAGUAUCGACCCUUCUAGUAGCGAAAGCUAAACGCGUUAAGCGUCCCGCCUGUGGAGUACGAGCGCAAGCUUAAAACAUAAAGGAAUUGACGGGGACCCGCACAAGCGGUGGAGCGUGUUGUUUAAAUUCGAUGCUAAGCGAAGAACCUUACCCAGGUUUGACAUCCUGCUAAUUUCUCCGAAAGGAGAGAGUGCCUUCGGGCCGCGGUGACAGGUGUUGCAUGGCCGUCGUCAGCUCGUGUCGUGAGAUGUUUGGUUAAGUCCAUCAACGAGCGCAACCCUUUUGUUAGUUGUA
rnacentral:rRNA from 1 species